CUAAUUUUUAUUUCCUGUAGACAUCCUAUACUCAGCUAUAACAAAUGGUGGGGCUGGGGGAUGGAUGUUUACUUCAACUGUUUUGGA
rnacentral:pre_miRNA from 12 species